rnacentral:rRNA from 1 species
CCUACGGGUGGCAGCAGUGGGGAAUAUUGGUCAAUGGGCGAAAGCCUGAACCAGCCAAGCAGCGUGAAGGAUGACUGCCCUAUGGGUUGUAACCUUCUUUUAUAUGGGAGAAAAACGUUCCAUGUGUGGGAUUUUGUAUGUACCAUAUGAAUAAGGAUCGGCUAACGCCGUGCCAGCAGCCGCGGUAAUACGGAGGAUCCGAGCGUUAACCGGAUUUAUUGGGUUUAAAGGGAGCGUAGGUGGAUUGUUAAGUCAGUUGUGAAAGCUUGGGGCUUAACCGUAAAAAUGCAGUUGAAACUGGCAGUCUUGAGUACAGUAGAGGUGGGCGGAAUUCGUGGUGUAGCGGUGAAAUGCGUAGAUAUCACGAAGAACACCGAUUGCGAAGGCAGUUCACUGGAAUGCAACUGACACUGAGGCACGAAAGCGUGGGUAGCAAACAGGAUUAGAUACCCUAGUAGUC